CCAAGUUGCUGAGCAGGGAAAACACUAAAACAAACAAACAAACAAACAAAUAAAGGGCAACCUGGGAAGACAUGGAGGAGGCACAUGGAAGGACAGAGACUAGUGAAUAAGAAGCUCCAAUUGCUUCCCAGGCUUGGACUUGUACCAGGGACUUGAGGAACGUGGACGGCGACCCUUGAAAGAGACAGAGAAGUGGGUGAGAAAACGUAAGACAGUAAGGAUAUUAAGCAAUUUGCUAAAUACUUUGGGUACUUGGAACCUCUGUGUUCUCGACUCCCCAGUGCCUUCUGCUUGCUCAUGCUAUUCUUUGCAGGGUUGCACCUCAGAAUCUCCAGAAAUUUUUGGCAUUUACGUGGCUGAGCUGAUGCCGACUCACCUCACCUAGGAUGGGCCGAGCACUAACACCUUACAGAGAUCUUCUAAGAAAACAACGCCCAAAAGAGAUUUCAUGCAUGAAGCUAGUCAUUUCUCUAUAUUUAUGAGGACAUUUCCAACUUGAUGCUUUCAAAAAUACAUGUGGAGACAGUUGGAAGUUACCAGAUGGUAAAAUGUGGAAGACACUAGCUGACCAGCCUCCCACGUGGCGCAGACCUGCCUCUGUAAACAGUUUGAAGACUGUCCUUUGCACAAUCACCAAGACUGGGAUCUUCACGAAACAAUGGAUGUGGGCUGUUUGGACCUUGCCUACUAUUGGCAUUUUGUUGUUUAUCAUCAUCUAACAAAUAUGACUCUCAGGUGGGGAUAUGCUGCUGGUAGGAACAAACGAUUUCUGGAGUGAGUUUUUACUCUGAUUUUUUGCUGCUUAUAUACUUACUGGAAGUAUAAAUUUAACCUUGUAGACUUCUAUUUGAUAGUUCAGACACGUUCCCUAUACAUCCCCAAAUGUCAGUUGUUCUCUCUGUAAAACUUGCAAUGGAAUUUUUACUGGCACACUGUGUAGAUUCAACCUUUUUGAUUUUUCCUCCGAUCUCUAUCAGCAAAAUGAGGUUUGGGAUUUGAUGGGGUCAUGUCAGAAUCAAAUUCCCUUAAUUCUCAUUCUAACACAAUGUUCUAUCUAGUUGAAAGGUCUUCUGUUCUCUUGACACUUAUUUCUUCAACAUGGGAUGUUUCAGAGAAGGAGGUAUUAGAGUCUUGGGUUUUAAACAUCAAUCUGAGCUCUGGCAG